GGCCUAACACAUGCAAGUCGAGCGCCCCGCAAGGGGAGCGGCAGACGGGUGAGUAACGCGUGGGAAUCUACCCAUCUCUACGGAACAACUCCGGGAAACUGGAGCUAAUACCGUAUACGUCCUUCGGGAGAAAGAUUUAUCGGAGAUGGAUGAGCCCGCGUUGGAUUAGCUAGUUGGUGGGGUAAUGGCCUACCAAGGCGACGAUCCAUAGCUGGUCUGAGAGGAUGAUCGGCCACACUGGGACUGAGACACGGCCCAGACUCCUACGGGAGGCAGCAGUGGGGAAUAUUGGACAAUGGGCGAAAGCCUGAUCCAGCCAUGCCGCGUGAGUGAUGAAGGCCCUAGGGUUGUAAAGCUCUUUCAACGGUGAAGAUAAUGACGGUAACCGUAGAAGAAGCCCCGGCUAACUUCGUGCCAGCAGCCGCGGUAAUACGAAGGGGGCUAGCGUUG
rnacentral:rRNA from 1 species